rnacentral:lncRNA from 1 species
GUCUGUCCUAAAGAAGGCAGAAAAUUUUUGUCGACUACAUAAUAAGUUACCGAAAUUUGGAUAUACUUCUGUAUAGUACAUGUAUACAUAUGUACACCGUGUGCGUAUUUAUAUGAAAAAAAAACUAAAAUUGCAAGUGGUUAUGUUUGCAUAAUGUCCAUACAGUUAUGAAUUCACUAAAUUUGGAGAGAAAGAAAUGAAAUUACUUCAUUAAAAUUUGUAAUGAUGAAAAUUUUCAUUUUUAUGGCGAUAAGUGCGCCUGCUGCUUUGGUCGUAGUUCGUGAAUAAGCGAAUGCGAGUUCGACGUGAACGACACACAUACGUUAACAGGGCGGCGGGCGUGCGAAGCGUAAACGUAUCCGUGGCGUUCUUUGUACCAUUGGAGCGUUUUCAUUUAGUGUAGAAGCAUACUUUUAGACAAUGUAGCGUGGUGGCAGAGUGGAAGUGUAAAAGCGUAUAGUCAGUCGUAUGUGUACGAUUUAAAGCGGAAAGUGUAAAGUGUACCGAAGAAAGACAGUGAAGUGAGCGAGGUAGCAAAUAAAAAGAAAGAGUGCAGCGACACAGUAUUAGCGAAGUCGCAAAAGCUCAAAAGGAAAUAAAGAAUACCAGUAAAGUGUGAAAGGCAACGAAGUAAAGGCAGUAAGUGAACUGAUUUGACUGUGAAAAAUUAGUAAGAAUAAAAUUAAAAGCAAAAGCUAAAUUGAAACCAUAAAAAAUACCAAAUUUGUAAAUGUUAAAAAAUGUACUCCCCCUUGAGUGUGCUACUGCCACAGCUACUAUAUACAUAUAUAUGUACUUAGAUAUGCAUUUACAUACAUAUGUUCAUACUCGCAUAAUUAUAUUGUGCGUGCAACGAGCCAACUAAUCAACCAGCUAACUAAUCGAAGACCAAAAUUCCUAUUUGUAGAAUAGCAUAUUAUCUUGUACGGUUUUGCAUUUUAUUCGGUUCAUUUUUCGCGUUUCGAGCUACGCUUUCCCCGAAAUAAAUCGUGUGUAGAAGAUGAAGAAUUCCAAAUUGUGUCACAAAAUGAAGGCAAUCAGUUUAACAAAGCAGUUCUAUCAACAGCACUCAACACGGCAACCCUCCGGAACGACCACCACGCACUCGACCUCGCCACCCACACUCAUUUUCACUUCGUCAUCAGGUUUAGGAAAGCUGUGAUCGAAAACUCCGCUGCUUGAAAAAAUGAGGAAAAAGAGAAACUUAAAUUUAACGUGUAGAAGUCAGACCCAAAAAUCGUGUUGACUGGUGUUAUCAACUUCAACCAGAUUGCAUAAAAAAUACGGAUUUUCCAAAUACCUCGACUACAGCGCCACCCAGCUGUCCAUUUUUAUCAAAAGAAUUUUUCAUCAUACAGCGCCACCCAGCGGGAUUUCAUGUAGUAUAUAAUAGGACCAUAUAUGCAAGGUAUAUACAAUUUGACUGAACUCUAUCCAGUGGUUUUUGAGUUUAGUCCGAACAACGAAAACGGCUAUCAUUUUAUGUAUAUAUGUGUAUAUGAUAACCAAGCAAGUGUGAACAACCGAACUUAAAUUGAAUGUCAAUAAAAAUAAGUUUGUGGUUAUAUCAAGACGAAAUUUUGAGAGCAGUACGGUGGUAACUCUAAAUAUAAACAACGAAGCACUGGAAAAAGUUAACACAUUCCUAAGAAUAAAGAUCGAUGAUAAACUGAAAAAAAUUGAUUCUAUAUUUUCAGUUAGACCUCUAGCAAUAUGUACAUCAGCGAAAACCGCAUUUAAUUCCAUACAUUAGUUUUAGAUAAACCAAAAUUACAAAAACUGUUUAUUUGGCUUCCGUCGAUCUAAUAAACCACGUACUCCUUAUUAUC